UGUUGUUUUAUUUUUCAUAUAUAUAUAUAUAUAUAAAGCACUUAUCAAUCAUGAUGUAUAUCUAUCUGCUCAAAUUUACAUACUUUCCUAUGAUCUAGAAAGCUGAAAUUUAAUGAUUUUAUAGAGGAACUACUGAACUAGUGUCCAAAACCUGGGCAGCUGGAACUUUCAUCCCAAAGAAGUAGAGAAAAGUGAAACUAAAUUUCAUCUGUUUACUCUAUGAAACUUUUAAAAAUUAUUAUUACUCUUUCUCUUUCAAUCUCUCUAUCAUCUUCAGAAUUACAUAUUAUUCUAAUCAGCACUUUGAUAGGAACAUUUCACUUAAAAAUGUUUUCCAUUAAAUCAAAUGUUCCUACUGAAGUGCUGAUUAGAAUAAUAUGUAAUUCUGAAGAUGAUAGAAAAAUUGAAACAGAAGUGAACUAAUAUACAGGGUGAAGAAAAUUUACAUCAUAAAGGUUUGGAUGCUGGUAGGAGACAUCGAGGCAGGUUGAAAAUAUCAAUGAACACAUGGUCUAAGUUGCACUUUUCUCAAGUUAGGACCCUUUAAAGCUAGCUGAUCAUAAUCGAGGAUGUGUUAUGUCACUCUCAAUUGUGAUUGACUAGAU
rnacentral:lncRNA from 1 species